CUAUGCGCCUUGCCAGCCCGCUCAGGUGUGCCAGCAGCCGCGGUAAUACGUAGGUGGCAAGCGUUAUCCGGAUUUAUUGGGUGUAAAGGGCGUGUAGGCGGGAAUGCAAGUCAGAUGUGAAAACUAUGGGCUCAACCCAUAGCCUGCAUUUGAAACUGUAUUUCUUGAGUGCUGGAGAGGCAAUCGGAAUUCCGUGUGUAGCGGUGAAAUGCGUAGAUAUACGGAGGAACACCGGUGGCGAAGGCGGAUUGCUGGACAGUAACUGACGCUGAGGCGCGAAAGCGUGGGGAGCAAACAGG
rnacentral:rRNA from 1 species